UGGUCCAGUCUCCACACAUGUGCUUCCCUCGUGUUUCCUGAUCCUGCCCUGGGUCUGUAAUCACAGUUCUGGAAACUUCUCUGGGCUCCAGGACUAGGGGGUUCCUUUAGGACCUCAUGGCCCUGCUUCCUCCCUGGUUUCUCACAGGAUGUUUUCUUCCCUUAGGUGAGAAAGGAAGGAGCUAUUCUCAGGCUGCAACGUGAAACAGCUGUCUCGUGGGAGACAGUGUGAUGCAAGAUUUGUUCCUGUCCUGCUCCCAUUAUGACAUCAGGAAUCUCUGACUUCUGUAUCUGCAAAGGGCAUCUGAGGGUGUCUGUGUUCCUCUUGGCAUAAUGUGAGGAGAUAGGGAGACUAGUCUCCCCCGUGACCCCCUCCCACACUGCCUUGUGUUCUGUCCCCUGAUUGACUUUCCUGUCCCAGCAGAGGUGGGGCUGGUUCCAUCCCUGUCUUAACUUCGUGUUGCCCUGAGCUGCAGCUUCUUCCUUCCUUAUUGAGAAUAAACAUCUGCAUAUGAACUUGUUUUUUCAGAUUCUUGCCAUGAGGGAUUGAUGGGUUAAUUAAAGGAGAAGAUUCCUAAAAUUUGAGAAGGGAAAUAAAUGGAGGUCUGAGAACUUUCCAGAAUCUG